rnacentral:rRNA from 1 species
AGUCGAGGGGUAUGGUUCUUCGGAACCGAGACCGGCGCACGGGUGCGUAACGCGUAUGCAAUCUACCUUUUACAGAGGGAUAGCCCAGAGAAAUUUGGAUUAAUACCUCAUAGUAUAUAGACUCGGCAUCGAGAUUAUAUUAAAGUCACAACGGUAAAAGAUGAGCAUGCGUCCCAUUAGCUAGUUGGUAAGGUAACGGCUUACCAAGGCUACGAUGGGUAGGGGUCCUGAGAGGGAGAUCCCCCACACUGGUACUGAGACACGGACCAGACUCCUACGGGAGGCAGCAGUGAGGAAUAUUGGACAAUGGGCGCAAGCCUGAUCCAGCCAUGCCGCGUGCAGGAUGACGGUCCUAUGGAUUGUAAACUGCUUUUAUACGAGAAGAAACACUGAUUCGUGAAUCAGCUUGACGGUAUCGUAAGAAUAAGGAUCGGCUAACUCCGUGCCAGCAGCCGCGGUAAUACGGAGGAUCCAAGCGUUAUCCGGAAUCAUUGGGUUUAAAGGGUCCGUAGGCGGUUUAAUAAGUCAGUGGUGAAAGCCCAUCGCUCAACGGUGGAACGGCCAUUGAUACUGUUAAACUUGAAUUAUUAGGAAGUAACUAGAAUAUGUAGUGUAGCGGUGAAAUGCUUAGAGAUUACAUGGAAUACCAAUUGCGAAGGCAGGUUACUACUAAUGGAUUGACGCUGAUGG